UGUUCGAUUUCUUUGGAGAUUAUGGGACAUUUUCAAAAGAUAUUAAAGUUAAACAAGAGAAUUCUUUUUUCCCUGUUAAUGAAACAGAUAUAUCAACAAUCGACAAAACCUUUCAAAAUUGCGAUUCAAAGUUCAAUAAUUUCUUUCUUUCUGGAAACGACAUUCAAACAUUGAACCUAAUAUCAGCUGUUGCGUCCAGUUUCAGACUAUUUCCAUACGAGGAUAGAACUACGACGGAGGACGAAGUCACUAGAGGAGCUGAAAUUUUAGUCAUCGAUACUUCCGGGGGAGG